GCAUUUCGCCUCCAAAGUACAUACACUAAAAUUGGAACCAUACAGAGAAGAUUAGCAUGGCCCCUGCGCAAGGAAGAGCAUCGCACGCGUAAUGCGAAGACGUGGGAU